rnacentral:misc_RNA from 1 species
GAUGAAGAACGUAGCGAAAUGCGAUACGUAAUGUGAAUUGCAAAUUCAGUGAAUCAUCGAGUCCUUGAACGCAAAUUGCGCCCCCUGGUAUUCCGGGGGGCAUGCCUGUCCGAGCGUCAUUGCUGCCCUCAAGCACGGCUUGUGUGUUGGGCCCCGUCCUCCGAUCCCGGGGGACGGGCCCGAAAGGCAGCGGCGGCACCGCGUCCGGUCCUCGAGCGUAUGGGGCUUUGUCACCCGCUCUGUAGGCCCGGCCGGCGCUUGCCGAUCAACCCAAAUUUUUAUCCAGGUUGACCUCGGAUCAGGUAGGGAUACCCGCUGAACUUAAGCAUAUCAAUAAGCGGAGGA